rnacentral:sRNA from 2 species
UGUUUAUAUUUGCUGAAUCUACUUAUUUGUAGAACGGGGGAUAAAAUUUGGGGUGAAUCUUAAUGAAGGGAACUCUAUGCCCUAACCCGUCAACUAACCUCGUAAGCAUAAUAGAGGAGGAUU